rnacentral:rRNA from 1 species
UAUAGAGGUCCCGAGCGUUGUUCGGAUUCAUUGGGCGUAAAGGGUGCGUAGGCGGUCUUCUAAGUUUGAUGUGAAAUCCCGGGGCUCAACCCUGGAAUUGCAUUGAAUACUGGAGGACUAGAGUACCGGAGAGGAAACUGGAAUUUACGGUGUAGCAGUGAAAUGCGUAGAGAUCGUAAGGAAGACCAGUGGCGAAGGCGAGUUUCUGGACGGUAACUGACGCUGAGGCACGAAGGCCAGGGGAGCAAACGGG